rnacentral:misc_RNA from 1 species
GUGGGAGCGAGCCUGCUCGCGAAGGCGUCGUGUCAGUCAGCAUCAUUGAAAACUGACACACCGCUUUCGCGAGCAGGCUCGCUCCCAC